GAAAGAAAAUGUGAAAAGCAAAAAUCGAACAACCGGUGUUUGAUCUAGGGUUCCCACCCCCAUCCCUAUCCGCCGCCCAGCCCUCUUCCUUCUACGGUUCUACCCGUCAGUCGCCGCCCCGAGGCCCUGCCGGCGCUUCUGCACCGAGACUCGCCGCCGCCCAGACAAGGUCCUCCCCCCGCAACGCCGUCAGGCCCGUCACCCAGGCGCCAGGCCCCUCCCUUUCCUACCUCCUCGCCCAGUGGCCCAGAUCCUCCCAGCCGCGACAUCGUCACCCAGGCGCUGGCUGCUCCCCGCCGUCGCCCAAGCCCUGCCUCUCUAUCGCACAGCGCCGCCAGGCCCCUGCCUCGCCGUCGCCCAGCGCCCAGGCGGCUUGAAAUCGCCCCCGUGGCAAGCCAGAAGCAUCCUGCAAUCCGCCGCGCCUCAGUGUACGACUGCUCGACCAGCCUUCCCCAUCGUACCACUCCUCCUAGUCCAGCCUCACCGCCUCCGUUGGUCCCUCCGGCGGCUUCGCAACAGCAGUAGUUUCCAACGCCGCCAGAUUAAAUCCACCGAUGAAACUACUCCCUCCGUCGACCUUCGACGCGCUGAUCUCCGACGCCACUGAGCACCCCGCCACCGUCCGUCUCCACUAUCUCCAUCAUUAAACCACUUUUCCAAUCAAAGACGAUCAGUGCUUCUCAGGUUUAUUGACUAAGAAAUUUAUCGCUUUGAUAAAGCAUGCAGAGGAUGGUGAACUUGAUCUAAACAAGGCGGCUGACACUUUGCAGCUGUAUAUUUCUCAACCCCAACUGGACUCAGCUUCAGGAGGUACUCUGCGGUCACGAGCAGCUCAACAGUUAUAUAGUUGAAGGACAAGAUACAAGAUUAUAUAGCUUAUAAAGAGGUGCUGGUUUUAGAAGGCAACGAAAGCCCUAUUUUUUUAUUUUUUUUAGUUGGGCUCAAAACAUUAUGUAUGAAUGUUUUGUGAUAUAUAUAAUAUAUGUUAUUGAUGGUUUUAUCA